GGAAGGUCCGGGCGUUAUCCGGAUUUAUUGGGUUUAAAGGGAGCGUAGGCCGGAGAUUAAGCGUGUUGUGAAAUGUAGAGGCUCAACCUCUGCACUGCAGCGCGAACUGGUCUUCUUGAGUACGCACAACGUGGGCGGAAUUCGUGGUGUAGCGGUGAAAUGCUUAGAUAUCACGAAGAACUCCGAUUGCGAAGGCAGCUCACGGGAGCGCAACUGACGCUGAAGCUCGAAAGUGCGGGUAUCGAACAGGAUUAGAUACCCUGGUAGUCCGCACGGUAAACGAUGGAUGCCCGCUGUUGGCCUGAAUAGGUCAGCGGCCAAGCGAAAGCAUUAAGCAUCCCACCUGGGGAGU
rnacentral:rRNA from 1 species